AGCGAACGCUGGCGGCAGGCCUAACACAUGCAAGUCGAACGAGCUCUUCGGAGUUUGUGGCGGAUGGGUGUGUAACCCGUGGGAUCGUGCAUUUUGGUUCGGAAUAACUAUGGGAAACUUGUGCUAAUACCGAAUGUGCCCUUCGGGGGAACGAUUUAUCGCCAUUAGAGCGGCCCGCGUCUGAUUAGCUAGUUGGUGAGGUUAUGGCUCACCAAGGCGACGAUCAGUAGCUGGUCUGUGAGAAUGCCCAGCCACACUGAGACUAAGACACGGCCCAGACUCCUACGCGAGGCAGCAGUGGCGAAUCUUGCGCAAUGGGCGAAGGCCUGACGCAGCCCUGCCGCGUGAAUUAUGUAAGUCGGAAAAUUGAAAAAUGCUUUCACCGGUGACGAUAAUGACGGUACCCAGUGAAGAAGCCCCGGCUAACUUCGUG
rnacentral:rRNA from 1 species